rnacentral:rRNA from 1 species
GGGUGCGAUCAUACCAGUGUUAACGCACCGGAUCCCAUCAGAACUCCGCAGUUAAGCGUGCUUGGGCUAGAGUAGUACUGGGAUGGGUGACCUCCCUAGGAAGUCCUAGUGUUGCACCCU